AACGAACGCUGGCGGCAUGCCUAACACAUGCAAUUCGAUCGAGACCUUCGGGUCUAGUGGCGCACGGGUGCGUAACGCGUGGGAACCUGCCCUUCGGUUCGUAAUAACUCCCCGAAAUGGGUGAUACUCCCGGAUACUGUCUUCGAACCAACGACUUAUCGCUUUUGGAUGGGCCCGCGUUGGAUUACCUAGUUGGUAGGGUACAAACCUACCAAGGCGACGAUCCAUAGCUGGUCUGAGAGGCUGGUCAGCCACACUGGGACUGAGACACGGCCCAGACUCCAACGGGAGGCAGCAGUGGGGAAUAUUGGACAAUGAGCGAAAGCCUGAUCCAGCAAUGCCGCGUGAGUGAUGAAGGCCUUAGGGUUGUAAAGCUCUUUUACCCGGGAUGAUAAUGACAGUACCGGGAGAAUAAGCUCCGGCUAGCUCCGUG
rnacentral:rRNA from 1 species